UUGAACGCUGGCGGCAUGCCUAACACAUGCAAGUCGAACGGAAACGAUGGGAGCUUGCUCCCAGGCGUCGAGUGGCGGACGGGUGAGUAAUACUUAGGAAUCUGCCCAUUAGUGGGGGACAACAUUCGGAAACGGAUGCUAAUACCGCAUACGCCCUACGGGGGAAAGCGGGGGAUCUUCGGACCUCGCGCUAAUGGAUGAGCCUAAGUCGGAUUAGCUUGUUGGUGAGGUAAUGGCUCACCAAGGCGACGAUCCGUAGCUGGUCUGAGAGGACGAUCAGCCACACUGGGACUGAGACACGGCCCAGACUCCUACGGGAGGCAGCAGUGGGAAUAUUGCACAAUGGGCGCAAGCCUGAUGCAGCAAUGCCGCGUGUGUGAAGAAGGCCUGCGGGUUGUAAAGCACUUUCAGUAGAGAAGAAAAGCCUACGGUUAAUACCCGUGAGUCUUGACGUAACCUACAGAAGAAGCACCGGCUAACUCCGUG
rnacentral:rRNA from 1 species